rnacentral:rRNA from 1 species
UACAGAGGGGCAAGCGUUGUUCGGAAUUACUGGGCGUAAGGGCGCGUAGGCGGCCCACUAAGUCGAACGUGAAAUCCCCGGGCUCAACCCGGGAACUGCGUCCGAGACUGGCGGGCUCGAAUUCGGGAGAGGGAUGCGGAAUUCCAGGUGUAGCGGUGAAAUGCGUAGAUAUCUGGAGGAACACCGGUGGCGAAGGCGGCAUCCUGGACCGAUAUUGACGCUGAUGCGC